UCACUGUGGUAGUCUUGACCACACAUUAUCAUCAUUUUACAGGAUUAAGUGCUUAGUCCACACAAAAACCCUCCCAGUGCAAGCAUAUAAACUCAACCACUGAGAAAUCUGUUCUGUUUGAAGCAGUGCAAAAGACUUUUAAGGUAAAAAUACAUUUAACAUCUCCAGUCCUUUUCUUUUUGCUGGUU
rnacentral:lncRNA from 1 species